CAGAACGAACGCUGGCGGCAGGCUUAACACAUGCAAGUCGAGCGCCCCGCAAGGGGAGCGGCAGACGGGUGAGUAACGCGUGGGAAUCUACCCUUUUCUACGGAAUAACGCAUGGAAACGUGUGCUAAUACCGUAUGAGCCCUUCGGGGGAAAGAUUUAUCGGGAAAGGAUGAGCCCGCGUUGGAUUAGCUAGUUGGUGGGGUAAAGGCCUACCAAGGCGACGAUCCAUAGCUGGUCUGAGAGGAUGAUCAGCCACAUUGGGACUGAGACACGGCCCAAACUCCUACGGGAGGCAGCAGUGGGGAAUAUUGGACAAUGGGCGCAAGCCUGAUCCAGCCAUGCCGCGUGAGUGAUGAAGGCCCUAGGGUUGUAAAGCUCUUUCACCGG
rnacentral:rRNA from 1 species